UACGUAGGGCGCAAGCGUUAUCCGGAAUUAUUGGGCGUAAAGGGCUCGUAGGCGGUUUGUCGCGUCGGGAGUGAAAACCCAGGGCUUAACCCUGGGCUGGCUUCCGAUACGGGCAGACUAGAGGUAUGCAGGGGAGAACGGAAUUCCUGGUGUAGCGGUGAAAUGCGCAGAUAUCAGGAGGAACACCGGUGGCGAAGGCGGAUCUCUGGGCCAUUACUGACGCUGAGGAGCGAAAGCGUGGGGAGCGAACAGG
rnacentral:rRNA from 1 species